rnacentral:rRNA from 1 species
GAUGAACGCUGGCGGCGUGCUUAACACAUGCAAGUCGAACGGAAAGGCCCAAGCUUGCUUGGGUACUCGAGUGGCGAACGGGUGAGUAACACGUGGGUGAUCUGCCCUGCACUUCGGGAUAAGCCUGGGAAACUGGGUCUAAUACCGGAUAGGACCACUUCUUGGGUGUAGUGGUGGAAAGUUUUGUCGGUGUUGGAUGAGCUCGCGGCCUAUCAGCUUGUUGGUGGGGUAAUGGCAUACCAAGGCGUCGACGGGUAGCCGGCCUGAGAGGGUGUACGGCCACACUAGGACUGUGCGACGGCCCGGACUCCGGCGGGAUGCAGCAGGGGCGAAUACUGCACAAUGGGCGGCAGCCUGAUGCAGGGAGGCCGCGGGGGGGUUGACGGCCUUCGGGUUGUAAGCUCCUGUCGCUGGGAACGAAGCGUUUUUGUGACGGUACCUGGAGAAGAAGCACCGGCUAACUACGUG